rnacentral:rRNA from 1 species
GACAGAGGGUGCAAACGUUGUUCGGAAUUACUGGGCGUAAAGCGCACGUAGGCGGCUUUGUAAGUUAGAGGUGAAAGCCCGGAGCUCAACUCCGGAAUUGCCUUUAAGACUGCAUCGCUAGAAUUGUGGAGAGGUGAGUGGAAUUCCGAGUGUAGAGGUGAAAUUCGUAGAUAUUCGGAAGAACACCAGUGGCGAAGGCGACUCACUGGACACAUAUUGACGCUGAGGUGCGAAAGCGUGGGGAGCAAACAGG